rnacentral:lncRNA from 13 species
UUCCUUGAUAAAUCUCACUAAUGACUUGUGUACUAGACUUUUCUUGAAAACAACUGUUGGCUUUCAUCCAUGGCUGGGGCAUCAUCCACAGCUGAAUCAUCAUCCAUGGCUGAGACAUCAGGGACAUUCACAGAUGGGCAUCAUCCAAGCCUGGGGCAUCAUCCACUGCUGGGACAUCAUCCACACCUGGGGCAUCAUCCACACCUGGGGCAUCAUCCACUGCUGGGACAUCAUCCAUGCCUGGGACAUCAUCCACUACUGGGACAUCCAUGCCUGUGGCAUCAUCCACACCUGGAGCAUCAUCCACUGCUGGGGAAUCAUCGACACCUGGGACAUCAUCCACUGCUGGUGCAUCAUCCACUGCUGGGACAUCAUCCACGCCUAGGGCGUCAUCCACUGCUGUGGCAUCAUCCACGCCUAGAACAUCAUCCACACCUGAGGCAUCAUCCACAGGUUCCAGAGGCUUCCAUUUAAAGGAGCGACUCUCCCCACUCUACUGGAAUCUAAUGAAAACUGUUUUAAAUAAAGCCAUCCCUUAUUUAGCA